GAUGAACGCUGGCGGCGUGCCUAAUACAUGCAAGUCGAGCGAACAGAUGAGGAGCUUGCUCCUCUGACGUUAGCGGCGGACGGGUGAGUAACACGUGGAUAACCUACCUAUAAGACUGGGAUAACUUCGGGAAACCGGAGCUAAUACCGGAUAAUAUAUUGAACCGCAUGGUUCAAUAGUGAAAGACGGUUUUGCUGUCACUUAUAGAUGGAUCCGCGCCGCAUUAGCUAGUUGGUAAGGUAACGGCUUACCAAGGCAACGAUGCGUAGCCGACCUGAGAGGGUGAUCGGCCACACGGGAACUGAACCGCGGUCCAGACUCCUACGGGAGGCAGCAGUGGGGAAUUUUCCGCAAGGGGCGAAACCCUGACGGGGCAACGCCGGGGGAGGGAUGAAGGUUUUCGGAUCGUAAACCUCUUUUAUUAGGGAAAAAAAAAUGGGAAAGUAAAUAUGCACGUUUUGACGGUACCUAAUCAGAAAGCCCCGGCUAACCACGG
rnacentral:rRNA from 1 species